GUCGAACGGGCUCGGAUUGAAACCUAGUGAUUUCCGAGUUAGUGGCGGACGGGUGAGUAACGCGUGGAUAACCUGCCGUAUGCAGGGGGAUAACAGUUGGAAACAGCUGCUAAUACCGCAUAAGCGCACAGUACCGCAUGGUACGGUGUGAAAAGAUUUAUCGGCAUACGAUGGAUCCGCGUCCGAUUAGCCAGUUGGCGGGGUAACGGCCCACCAAAGCGACGAUCGGUAGCCGGCCUGAGAGGGCGGACGGCCACAUUGGGACUGAGACACGGCCCAAACUCCUACGGGAGGCAGCAGUGGGGAAUAUUGCACAAUGGGGGAAACCCUGAUGCAGCGACGCCGCGUGAGUGAAGAAGUAUCUCGGUAUGUAAAGCUCUAUCAGCAGGGAAGAAAAUGACGGUACCUGACUAAGAAGCCCCGGCUAACUACGUGCCAGCAGCCGCGGUAAUACGUAGGGGGCAAGCGUUAUCCGGAUUUACUGGGUGUAAAGGGAGCGUAGACGGCGCUGCAAGUCCGGAGUGAAAGCCCAUGGCUUAACCAUGGUACUGCUCUGGAAACUGUGGAGCUUGAGUGCGGGAGGGGCAGGCGGAAUUCCUAGUGUAGCGGUGAAAUGCGUAGAUAUUAGGAGGAACACCGGCGGCGAAGGCGGCCUGCUGGACCGUAACUGACGUUGAGGCUCGAAAGCGUGGGGAGCAAACAGGAUUAGAUACCCUGGUAGUCCACGCCGUAAACGAUGAUUACCAGGUGUCGCGGUACGAAGUACUGCGGUGCCGGCG
rnacentral:rRNA from 1 species